UCUCCUUGCAUAAUUCCCAGUUCUCAGGGCUAUAAUUGGUUUUACUGUUUCUUUGAAAUGCACAAAAUAGUCUGUUACUGUGGACUGGGAGAAUUAAUAGGGAGUACUUUUGCUGUAGAUAGUGGUUUUAUAUUUAAAGAGAAGAUGCAUUUUUAACUGUUGGCUUGAUGUGGAAUCCAGGCUGUGGUAAAACAUGCAUGUAUCAGUGAAACCCUUUUUUUCGGGUGACCAUAAAAGCUUUCUUUCUUUGAUUAGAUAAAUAAUGUUACCAUUGUUUUUUCAUAUUGUUUUAAUUUUUUCCCCCCCGAUGACAUUACUUCAGGAAUAGGAAAUUGUCUGAGGAGUUACUCUACAGUAACAGUAUUAUUGUGCAGCUGGGUAAGUUCUCAUGCAAUGAGGAAUAGCUGUAGUUUUAUAUACUAAACAAUUAAUGAAGGAGAGACAGAAUAUGUUACUGUCUUUUUUCAAGAAGCCCUUGACCAUAUGCUGGAAAUAAAGCUUUACCCCACUUAAACUACCAGCACAGGUAAAUUAAGACCACUGUGUUCAAAUAAAAAUAUUUAAUAACUAAGACAAAGUAUGAAACUCAAAUAUGUAAGUUAAGAACCUUUCUGAGAUCUUGCUGGGGAUGUGAAUAAUCACUUUGAAGGUGGAGUGUAAAGAGUACAGAAGAAAUUCUGUGGAGAAUCUGGAGCCACCUAGAAGGUGUGUCAGUCCAAGGAUGACUGUAGAGGUUUUAAUUGUAACCAGGGCAGAUAAGCAAGAAGCCAUACAUCUUAAUCAACGAUUAUAAGCAGAAACUCACGGGAAUAAGUUCAUAUUCUGUUCAUUGUCUGCAAGUUUUGCUUCUCUGAAAAUUAGUGUGUGUGAUCUGUUACAUGGAAAAGAUGGAACCAGUGUGGAAGAGGUGUGGUGUCAGUUUGAGGAAAACUUUCUCAUGCAAUAUUCCAGCUCAUUCCUCUGUGAGUGACAGCUUCUUCCUCUGUGAGUGACAGGGUAGGGACAUGGAAUGGGAGCUGCUGUUUGUUUGGAAUCAGCUGAACAGUUGGGUUUUGCCUUUGUGUCAGGAAGUGACUUUCUGCUAAUGUUAAAAGUGCAACUAUUUUAUUUGCCAGAGAUGAUGAAAGAGUAACAUUGGUAGUAAAGAUCGCAUCAUCUGGCGUGUUGGCACAUGCUGCUUUCCUGAGAGGCACAGAACCCCAGCCUCUUAGAGAGCACUCAGGCUUCAGAGCACUGCUUGCUUGUUUGCCAAUAUGUAAUUCUCAGUAGUAAAUUAGUGGACACUGAAUAUACAUUUGAAACUGUGGGAGCUGGGAAUGUUCUCCCUGGCUGCUAGUAGUCUGAGCAGGCUUCAUUUGGUUUCUUUAGUGAAGGUAUAAUAAUAUAUUGAAGUGCUGUUCAAAGCAAAAGCAAACCAAAAUAACAUUUCCUUGUUUAGCUAAGACUGAAGCUAAGACCAUCUUCACAUAAAUAAUAGAGACUUUUCCUCCCUAACCUCUGUUGUCUUGGCCAUCAAAGCUACAGUGAAAGUAAUUGCAUGUUUAUUACUACUCUGGCCACUGUGCUUCUCUAUGGAGAUUUGUAUUACUCUGUCAUUGUCAUGUUUUCCAACCUUGCUGCACUGUAUGUUUACGAAAGCUACCUGGCAUGUCUGACAGUGCAGGAGAAGCCAAAGGUCUUAUGAUUUACAGGUGACAUUUUGUGUGGCUUCUCUAUAGUGAGUACUUACUCAACUGAAGUAUCUUAAACCAGGAAUACUGGUGAGGCAGCAUUAUUAUUCUUAUUACUACUACUACUACUACUACUAUUAUUAUUAUAAAUGUCUUGGGAUUAAUGAAAAAAUGUAACUUCUCUUCUAAAUCACCAUAAAUCAACCUUGUUGCCAAGAUGAGAUGUUUAAUUAAAGCAUCAGUUUUAAACAGGAAAGCCAGGCACUGGUUGCCAUUCACAGUUCUUCAUUACUACAUUCAGAUCUCUUAGCAAGCAGUACAUUUUCCUAAAGAUUAUAGCUUUUCAUAGGAAGAUAUGUAUCUGAAGUGCUUUUCAGAAGAUACUGGGGAACAGAAUGAAGCCCCCAUAAUGCAGGGGGAAAUGGUCACUGACCUCCUACAUCAGUUUGAUACUCAUGAGACUAUGGGGCUGGAUGGGAUCCAGCCAAGGGCACUGAGGAAGGUGCAGAAGUGCUCCCUGAGAGUUUUACCAUCAUUUUUCAUCAUGCCUGGAAGGUAGCAAAUGUGAUGCCCAUCUACAAGAAGGAGGAUUUGGGGAAUUACAGGCCUAUGAGACUGAACUUGGCCAUCCUAAGGGUCUUCUUCCAACCUUAAUAAUUCUAUGAUUCUAUAAACCCAGAUAAUGAUCUGUUGUUAAAAUCAUGUAGGCAUCUUUUGCUUAGAAAAAAAACUGUGUUAUUUAAAAGAACAAGGAUCAUAAGUGAUAAGUGAAUCAUAUCCAUACAUGAAAGUAAAGGUUUCUGUAGAAGUCUCAAGCAGACAUUGACUGGAAUAUGACUGAUUUUAUCCAAGACAAACCGAACAAAGUGAGGAGACUAUUUUUUAUCCCAGGUCACCAUAAUACCCACUUUCAUGCAUCACUCAGGUGUCUAAUGAUACAGUUUUCAGGAGGAGGUUUGCUACUCAGACCAUUCGUGGGAGGGAAAAACAGGAUGAGAAUAUGUGUGUGCUUGUGACAGGCAUGUUCUAGUCUGGUACAUUAUAAGUAAUUAUAAGCAAUAGCAAUUCUUUCACCUUAGGAUUCUUCUGCUCUUCAGCAGGUGCUUUUGGUCGUGGGUGAAUAAUUGAGUGUAAUUGUUUUGAGAAUCUCUGUCUAGAGACUUCACCUGUCAUGUCUUCUCUGUAAUUCAUUUUCCAUCUUCCUUUCUAUCAUUACCUUGCAUUAUUUUGAACUGCCAUGGUAUUGCUUUCUUGUGAUGUACUCAGCAUUGGUACCACAAUGCGGAAUGAUGUAAUGAACUUAUACACACACACACACACCCCACAAAUUUAAUUGGAUAGAUAUCACUAUAAUAAUAUAAUAUAUAUAUAAUAUAAUAUAUAUAUAUAUAUAUAUAAAUUGGAUACAUUUUCUGUGAGAGCUUAACAAGGAAUGGUAUUGUAUCUCCCUGAUACUUGGAAAUUAUUUCACGAUUUUAAUGAAGUGAGGAAGCUUUGCUGGAGCAUCUCAUCAUUGCCUCCAAAUUCCUUUGGUUUUGAUGCAUUUCAAGGAUUGAAGUUAGAGUAUUUUCCCUUGAGUCUGUUCACUUCUUAUUUUGUGUUUUCACUUGUAAAGUGAAUAGAGAACCUAUAUAUUUAUAAGCUACACUACCAUGGCUGUCAGCAAACAUUGCAGUUGAUUAAAACAUUGGUCAGAGCAAGUUUAUCUGAUUCCAUCAGCACCCAGAGGUUAUGAACCUCAGCUUAUUAGAGCUGUAUUAGUGAAGUGAUUAAUGAUAUAAUACUUCUUCCUUCCAGUUCAGCUCUGGAGGUUGACUUCUAUAGCAACAGGCCAUCAUCAGGGAAAAUUCUGGGGUAAAGUCUAUUAAUGAUCCCAUUUUAUGGCUGGAAACUUUGAACCAUUGCAGAUUCACACUUAGCAGUUAGAACCAAACACUUACUAGAAAACAUAUUAUUGGAAAGGGAAAAAUGGAUGUGAGAUAAAUUUAAUUCUGCUAAAAGAUCAAAAUUAGAAUGUGUCUCCUGGUUUAUUUCUUAGGGUGGGGUCUUUUCCCCCUACUUUUUCUUUCAAAGAUGCCACCCAUGUUUUCUCAUAUUUGGGACUAACACAUCCAUUAAUUCAUUUAGAACAAGAAAUGUUGCAUCAUUGUCUGUUGUACAAUGAAUUGUGCUUAUACAAACAAAAUUUAGAUAUUUGAUAGGAUGUCCUUAAGAGAGGAGAUAGUAGUUUAUUGUUUUGGAAAACUGUCUUGGAUGAGACUUUUUGGAGGCAGCCAUCCUUGUGUCCCAGGCAGAAUCAGAUUGUCAGUUCUAUUUAGUAGAUCAUCAGUGAUGGAAAACCCAUAGCUACCCUUGACUAUCUAUUCCAGUAUUCCAUUAUUAGUCUCAAUUGAGUGAUUUUCCUAAAAUCUAUGCUGGAUCUUUCUGUCUGGUAUUUGAGCCCAUUAUUGCUUGUUCUGCCCAUCACUGGUAUGGAGAACAGAUUCUUUUCUUCUUCUUUUUUUUCUGUUUUUUGCCUUAGGUUUUCUACCUCUGAUAGUUCUUGUUCAUCUUCUUUUGAACGUCUCCUGUUUGUGCAUUUCCUUAAGUAUCUAAAAUCAUUGUGCCGUGUUAUGAUUGUGAUUCAGAGAUCAGAAAUAGCCCCCAGGUGUAAGCCCCCACUUCUUUUAGUUAGUAACAGAACUUUUACUAACUUAUUUUUAUCUUAUCUUGAGUAAGCACUGUUUCUUCAGCUUGUUAAAACCUGUUUGAAUCUUUCACCAGUCCUCCAACAUACUUGAAAUCCCUAUUAUUGUCAGGAAUGUUUUCUUCUAUCAUCUAGAUUGUUAAGAGAAAUGCUGAAAAAAGACUAGACCCUGGACAGACCCUCUGAAGCACCAUACAAUGCAUCUUUCUAUUUGACAGUGGAACAUUGGUCCUCUGUGGAUACAGCUAUCUAAUUUCUGUUUUCAGAUUUCAUUGUGACUUACUGAAGUCAAGAUGAAUGACAAUCACUCCCCUUCUAAAAAGGCCUUUUAGCCACAACACAGGAAGAAAUUGGAUUGUUUUGUCAGUUCAUUCUUAACAAAUUCAUAUUGAUUGUCACUUAUGUCUGUGUUACCAUAUAGCUGCAUACAAUUGCUUCAUGAAGAAAUGUUCUUGAAUAUGAGGUUCAGUUUGACUUAUCUGGUUUCUCAGCUCCUCUUUCCUGCUGUUCUAAGCACAGAUAUGAGAUAUCACAGAGCUGCGAUCAGUCCUCAUGUCAGUUCAACAAUUUUUUAAUGUAUUUUCACUGAUACUUGUCAGGCCAAUUAAAUUUGAAAAAUAUAAUUAAUAAUCUAUGUUCUUAUUUGAGCUCUGACUGUUGUUGCUGUUAAUUCAGCUCAACACCAAUAGAUCUUGUUCAUAUAGACUAAUGCAAGAAGAGCGCUCUGGCUCUCUCUGCAUUUUCUCUGCAUUCUCUCUUAAGCAUUGGUUAAUGUAGUCUUGCUAGUUGUAGAACCUGAUUUAUUUGUUCACACCUUACUGCCUAGAUCCUUUGUGUUUAAUAGCUUGCAUAAUUCUUGUGGUUGCUCAAACUUGGAAUUAUAUGGAAAUUUCUGGAGGAGGAUGUGUUUCUGGAAGGUAGACUGUGGUAUCUUGGUUUGAAACAGCUGAAAUGAGGAGAGUGAAGAUUAGGAGACAGGCAGGUGAUAGGCACAGGGGUCAGAAGGAGGCUGGUGUAUUCAUACACCUAGGAAGGGCAAAGUGGUUGCUGGAUUAAAACAAGAUCGAAGAAGAAAAAUAUAAAUAUGUGGUAGGGAGAAAGGAACUUAAUUUUCAAAGCUUUUUUGUAUCUAUCUUAUUUGACCAGUCUGAGACUUUCCUCUUAUUAAAAAAAAAAAAAAAAGAAAUAUACUGUUCUACUUCAUGUUUAGAUAUUGAAAGUCCUUUGGUGUUUUGGAGCACUCACUUUAAGGGCAGGCUAUUGGCAGAUCGGCUUCACAAGUUUGCCUGACCUGAUCUCUGCUGAGCUGUGAUCAUAGGGUUCCUUUGUUUCUUAUUGUCAUGUCUUGACCUCUUUGCUUGUGCUCCAGCUGUUUGUGCCAUUCUUUUAUGCUCUUCUUUAGUGACCUAGUUGGUAAGCUCCUUUCCUGUGUUUGAGGUCAAUGAGGAAGUCAUGAUUUAGCAAGGCUAAUCCCUUACAACGCUUCUGUCCUUUUACAUGGAAAUGGGCAGAAUUUUUGUCCUCAGUUAUCAGUUCUCUCUAAUGCUGUCAACUCUAUUUUGCUUUUUUUUGUGCAUUGAGAAUGGCAUUAAUACCUGAUUUCAAGAAUGAAAGGUCAGAUUUGUCUAUAGGGUUCAGUCCCAACUUUCUGUAGGAUAGAGUACUUGAUCUUAAACUCAUGGCUUUGGGUUGUAACAUUGCCUGGCUUUCACAUAAUAGUAGCAACCAGCUUCUUCCUUUGAGUUGUUGGGUUAAUCUUUACAGCUGGGUGCUGUUCUGUAUAGCUGUUCAAGUGAUUUGUUGUAGUGACUUCUGUGCCCUUUGGCAUCCUCCUCAUCACAGAUACACCACUGAAUUAUUUUUCAGCUCUGCUUCUUGAUUUUACCAAGAGAUAUCAUCAAAACAAACAUCUCCUCCCCAGCCUUUACUGGAGCACAAAUAUAUAUGUCUCUUCUUUUAAGAGGAGUUGUUUCUUUACAGCUAGGAACUGUGGGCAAGAUAUUGAUAUUCCUACCUGAGUAUGGUUCACACAGAACAGAGGGCUAGAGUGGUCACUGCCUCUCUGUGUAUUUUAACAUUUAAUGACUUCUCCUUAGAUCCCCUUUAAGCAUUCUUCCAUUUUUUGCUCAACCACAUUACAGUAUGGAAGCUAUUAAUAAAUUAGUGUUAGUUGUAAAUUGAUGAAUUUCCCAUUUUCUUCUUCUCUAAACAUGUAGCAAAUUUUCAAGAAUUUGGAAAAGAAGGUCUGGCUAUCAAUGAAGAAAGACACAGAAGACUUUUCCUUAAAAUUAUGUCUAAUUAAACUAUUAUCUUCUAAAAUGUUCAUGUAUGAUCUUGGAGAAGGACUUUCAAACAUAAAAUAACAUAUUUAGACCUACAACUGGAUUAUGUGAUUAGGAACUUUACCUUAAUUACUGCAAGACACUCAAACAACAUUUAAAGGGCUUUUACUGUGCAAACUCUUCUUUUUGAUAAUAUUUGGGAUUCACUGUUGUGAUGAAUAUUAUUUGGUAAAUUACCAGGAAUUUAGAGAGUACUCAAGGUAAUCUGAAGCAAAUUUGGAAAAAGAAGAUAAAAUAUUCUACUGCUAUGAUUUAAUUUCUUGUAAUAUAUUUAUUUCAGUAAUAUAACUCAUUGCACGAGGAUAUUGAAACAGGGGUCAGAAGUGUAUUACUUGUUUGUAGCAGUACUGAGAACAUUUGCACUGGUUUAAUGCUUUUUCUUGUGCCCAGACACAAACAACUAAAAUAUAUAAAGUAUAGAUUUUAUCUGUUGUUCUCUGAAUGAAUGCUAGGUCACAUGCAGAACAAAAUAUUUAAUUAGAUGAACAUUAUUUGUUGUCUGGAAUGACAGUCUAUUUUGUUUGGUAUUUCCAUUAAUGUGUAGAGGAGUCAGAAAUUAUAAGUUUUCUCCCAGUGUAAAAUUUUACACAAAUUUGUUUUCCUGGCUGCUCUUUUCCCUUUUAUAAAAUAUAGCAGUUCAUAUGAAAUCCAAAGAAGGAAAUUAGCAGAGGUGAACAGAAGUCAAGAAAAGUUGAACAUUUCCUGGUAAAAUUUUAUGUGGCCAUUAAAAUGAUGGAUUUAAUGAUUUUUUUUUUUUUUUUCAGUGUAGUAACAGUACUAAUUUGUAGUUUGCCAUCAGUGUUAAGAUAAGAUUUUGAAUAUAGCCCAUGGCAGUAUAACAAGAACUUAUGCCAACUUGCAGAGCUGUGCAGCUGAUGAAAAUCUCCACUCUAAGAAGAGCCUUUAAAAUGUGUGAAUGCAGAACUCCAGCUCUGUUGAUCUUUGAAAAACAUUGGAGCAGUUUCUACACUGAUGUGUGCCAGUAAAAACCUCAAAUUAUUUUGGUGAUGGCUGUUGAAUAGUUUUCAUCAAUCCACUUGAAAUAGUGGGGGUGUUUUUCAUUUAAAUGGGCCUGGAUUUGUGGGCAGGGAGGGGCUAAGAAAGUUAAAAUGUCCUUUUAGCAUCAGGCAGCCUGGUAUACUGCUUUUACCUAGGGACUAAAUCUGUCCCUGUGUGGCAGUAACUCGUGUAGCAGGACUGUAGUAAAGCAGAUGAUACAACACCACCAAAAUAAGAGGGUCUUAAUUUAUGUUGGUAAAUGCAGAGAUUUGUCCAACACCUACACUGCCUUCGUUUGUUGUUUUUUUUUUUUUUAAAGCACAAAAGUAAAUUAAGAAACAAAACUAAUUUGUUUUUUCCUGAAGCUUCAACCUAUAAUUUGCUUAGGAACAUUUUCAAAGUCCAUUCUAAGCCACUAUAAUUCAGUUUUCUAUUAAAUUGUUGAGAUAAAACAGUUCAGUGGUAAUAUAAUUGAUAAACAUAAUGCACCUAGCAUAUCUCUGUAAUUCUUCUGAGGAAAACUAAAAUUAAGUAAAAACAAAAACUAGUAGUCUAAGGAGAUAUUAAAGGUGCACUUGGGGUUGCCCCUAUUAGUAUCUUUGGUUAAUUUGACCUGAAAAUUAUUUUCAGGGCAGAUGAGAAAGAUGUCCAUGUUGUAACUGAAUAGUUUGGCUUUGUAAUGUACUCACAGUUACAAGUUAAAUGUACUCACUUCACAAGUAAAACCCAUGGUAGCUUCCUCCUACCUCUAAAUAAUGUUUCUUCCUCCUACCUCUAAAUAAUGACUAGUUCUGGCUCUUGUGUGGGGCUUAUGUUUCUCUGCCACCUUCAGAGCUGUGUAAAGGAGAGAGAUGGAGACCCUCAUUCCAGUGAGUAGUUACUGGUUCCUCCCUGGCUGGCAACUUCUGGGAUUUCUGUCAUUGAGUUUGGUCUGUCUAGAAGCCAGACUUCUGGACUGAAGUAGUUUCCUCUUCCUUCUGUAGUCAUCAGAGAGGAAGGGCCAGCUGGACAGCAAUUCAUCCCACCUCUCAGGAUGUUGAUGAAUUGUCCUGUGAAACUACUUAUUCAUAGAGGAAAUUUAGGCAAUGAUCUCAGCCUAUUAAAAAGGGAUGAAAAUAUUCUUACUGUAAUGGGAAGCUGUUAGUAAUCAAGGAAUAGUCCCACCUGCCUAUAUGCAUUGCUCCCAGUAUUACAAUGCCUAUUUCUCAUAAAUUAUUUUAAAUGGCUCUUGACUCUAGAUCAAAGCAGCACUUUGAUACCACUUAAGUAUUGUAGCUAGAACUACUUUGCUGUUUGGAGGCCUCAAUCUUUGGUACCUGUUAUUAUAUGCUCCCCAGAAGGAAGUGCUAGAGAUCAUCUAGGUUAACCUUCCCAGAGCAGAUCCAACUGUAAAGGUAGAUGAGAUUGUUUAGGUCCAGUGGCAUGUAGAACAUCUCUAAAAUGACCCAGAAACCUUGUCAUGUGGGAUGUACAAGUCAGCAAUCCCAAUCUUCAUUAUUUUCUCAUCCUUUUUUCUUCCCAUCCACAGUAAAUCAGCUUCUUCAGAGUUCCCAUUUAGGAAUCACCAUCUGAGCUGAUUGCAAACUCCCAAGGGAUAUGAUUCCAGCAGCCUAAUCAGGUGGUAUACCCUUGGGGUGUCGUAUAGCAGUGUUUGAGGGAUGGCUUUCAAGGCUCUGCCAGCCAAGUAUGUUUUGCUUUCUUACGAAAGAAUGCUUUUCAUUGUUUUUAAUUUCAUUUUGGAUUGAAACAAUUAUAUAAAAUGUAUAAAGGUGCAAAAUGCAAGUUUUCUGUAUUUAGUUUCUGUUUCCAAAGAAGGUUGUUAUCUUGGAGAUCAGUGGCAGGCAUUUGGAUAAAGCCAAAAGCAAUACUUCCAUUGGAUAGGACAGAUGCCAAAUAACAGAGAACUUAUAUUUUGAAUGUAUUCCUUCAGUAAAAUGUUAUUUUAAAAGGCAAUGCUUUAAUUUCACAUACUCAGCUAAAUCUGGGGAUACAAAUAUGCUUUCUACACAGCUGAGAAAAUACGCAGAACUCUUCUUUUGUCAUCUCCAGGUGAAAGUCAAAGUCUGUUUCUUGCUGUGUGGUCUUAUGGUUUACAGGUAUUACUUGUGGGAAUGUCAGUGGCAUUCCAUGGCUUACCUUGCAAUUUUGGAAAAGUUGGUUCAAGGAGACUUUUUGUAUUAACUUCAAUCAAUUCCAAAUCCAGACAUUAGGAUUUUUUGAUAGUGGGAGAGUUUCUGCCUCUCAUUCUGUUUUUGAGAACUGUUGAUUCUCAAGCCAGACUUCUCAGACUCUUAUAAGAGUCCUGAGAACUUUAUGUUUGUCAAGAUUAAGUUUUGGGAAGUUGUCUACUGUGAUGAUUUUUUCCCUCUGGAUAUUAAGGUUACUGUAUUCUGCCUCUGCUUUGGAACAUUAGAAAUUGCUUUCAUAUGACUUGAACUAUGUUUCCCACUGAGUUGCAGAUACUUUGGAUUUAAGAACAGCCCUGUAGAGAUGAAGCUUUCCUAGGAAUUUUCAUUUCUAUUAAAGCUUACAAUGUUAAUCUUUUUAGCAAGGCUUUUCAACUUCUGGUACAGAAGGUAUAUUUUCCUAAGUAGAUGAGGCAUGUUACCUCUCUGUGGGAAUCUUUCUCAUGUCAUAGCCAAAACCUGGCAGUUUAAAAAUCUUCUAUUUGGAUGUUAUUACUUUCGGCAGAACCUUUCAGUGCAAAAACCCAGAUGUUUUAAUGCAUUAAAAAAAAGACACUCAGUUGCGUACACCUCGCCAAAUCAAUUAUUCAGUAAAAUGUUUGUGGUGAAGCAGCAGUUAAUGGAAGAGUGGCAGAUGUCAGACACAGAAGUGUCCAUUUCACUAUGGUGCUCCAUGGUCUGUUGUGACAGCUAAAUGAAGCAGCUCAACAGCUGUCAGCAUGUUAAUGUUUUGGAUCAAAUAAACACGCUUGGAAGAACUUUCCUCUGAUUUUUAAGACUUAAUGACUUUGAAGGCAGCCGUGCUUCUUUGCAGAUGAUGUUUGAAGUGUUUUGUAAGUGAGGCCAGAUGUAAUGAGGAAUAACAUUGGACUGCAGGCUAGACUAGUGUAUUUUGAUUUCAUUGGAGCUGUGUAACUGAACCACAGUGGGGCUUAGAAAUUCCUUCUCAGUCUAAACAUCAGAAUUAAAUCAAGGUUGCAGUGAGGUAGAUAGUUUUCUUCCUUUGCUUGGAGAAACCACAGAGAGAUAAGCAUGUGGCAAGCUUUUAGCUUUUGAAGAGUGUGGAGACAAAUCGGUCAAAAAAGCUGAACACAUGUAAACAUAAACCCGAUAUAACAUCUGUCCAUUUCAGUCAAAUACAAUGCAGAAGGCUCAAGGAUGAAUGUAUGAUCAUUUAAAUAUAUUUUUUUGGUGUUUUUGUAGUUGGUCAGUGAUUGCUUUAUAACAUAGCUGUUUCUCCAUGAAAGCUUCUGUUGUGCCUGAGGGUUUUCUUGAUUGCCUUUCUGACCUCAAUUGUUUUGGAGUUGCAGUGCCUGGUAGAGGUGUAAUAUAUGGACAGAUUCUGCGGCAUGUAGCUGGCCCAUUCUUUUUCAUUUCAAGAUUUGUUUUCAGGUAUCUUAUUCAUUUCAUAGGAUCUGAGAGGGCAUCUGUUAUUAUGAAAAAAAAUACAGCUGGUGGGAUUCUCUUUGCCAUGAUACUUUUCAUGGUUGACUGUCAGAUUAAGCAAGGACAUAUUGUUCAGCACCAAGACUGCUGAAGAACUAGGAUGAUAAUUUAUCUCAUUGAUUUAUUCUCUUUAUCUUAAGUUCUGCUGCUUUUUUUCUCCAAGUGUCUGCUUCUGACUGUGGUUGACUGGUUUGUGUAACAAAACAAGAAACACACAGAUAACCAAAGUUCUAGAUUAUUCCUCCAGGCUUGAAGGAAUGAGUGAAGAUUUAGCAUCAUCAGAGUGUCUUAAAAAUUACAAUCAUUUGUGAUGGCAUCUGAGAUAACUACAAGGGUGCUAUAUCUUUACCUGUCACUAUGGAUGGAGCAAUAAUCACUUAUUUCCUGUCACUCCCUGCCAUUCCCAGUAUCUAACUUUUAAAGAGUGCAAGCACGAGGAGUUAUUGAAUAUCUUAUCUUUCUGCUCUGUCAUUUGUCCAGCUAAUGAGAGUGGAAGUUUAGUCAGCUCACUUGAGGAAUGCACCAGGGCUACAGAAGAUGAGAGAAGGAGUUUGCCUGGGAGCUCUACCAAAAAAAAGAACUUUUUCUCCAUUAACCCUGGGAGCUUUAUUACAUAGCUUUCAUGAAGAAAAGUGAAACUAGCAACAGUAGAUAGUAACUCACUCUUCUAAUAUUUCUUUUUUUUUUUUUUAAUGCCAAUGUGUGUACAUCAAGCAAUUAUUAAUUGCUUAAUAUUUAUCAUUGUAAUGAUAAAUAUGUAAAACAUUUCUGUAAAGUAAGUGAAAAUAAAGUGUAAUGCUGUUGAAAAAUGAGGGUUGCUGCAACUUAAGCAUAGAAAUUUGAAGACUUUUGCCGCUUCGGUUUUUAAUUUGGUCACUGUUUUAGGAAUCUUGGAGUUUAAAUUCAUGUAGCAGUCACCCUACAUGAGGGAUCAGAAGGGGAGGUCUUAAUAGCCAUUGCUUCAGACCCCUAUGGCAACAGUUCUGGCAGACUUUUUUUAUGAAGUCUUCUGCAUGGUCUUUUGCAUUUUCUUUCUGGAAUUAUUGCAGUACUCUCAUCAGUUGGCAGACAGGCCACCAUGCCUUGCUCAGUGAGCUUCCAGUAUACCUUUCUCUUCUCUCAGGCCAGAGGUGCCCCUUCCCAUUCUCACAAAUCUCUCCUUUCUUCUUUGGUCUGACCAGGUGUGGCUGUGGUGUUUUGGUGUGGAUUUUAUGACAUUUUUACAUUAUUUUGGUAUGGAGUUUGGUUUGUGGACUUUAUUACAUUUUCUAAGCAAGUUUGGACAAUCGUAGCCAUAAGUGUAAUUGUAAAAUAUGUAGAGAACUAGAACAUCUGAAAAUCAGAUCCUUAGUUCAUGGUUAUGACUGUCAAAUCCUGAACUGGUUUUAGUUGGUUUUGGUCUCGGAAGCAGCUCUAAUCACAGUAAUAUUUUACUAACUCUUCUUUCAUGCUUACCCUCAAAUUCUUAUAUAAGAGCCUUACCACAUAGAAAUUAUAAUUUCUAUUUUUGAAACCUCUAAAAAUUUACAGCUGCUUUUUUCAACUCAAGUAGGAUAUUUUCCCCUAGAAAAUAUUUUGUUACCUUUACUUCUCACCCAUAUGACAAAUGAAUGAGUUUUAAUCACUGUUUUUGUAGGGAUUGAGUCUCUUUCAGGUUUUGAUUUCAAAGUUGAAAUUGGGUAAAUAAAAUAAGUGCAAUCUCCAUGUCAAUAGAAAGCAAGGAGAGUUAUAAAGUAAGAUUCUACAUGUGUAGCUUUGCAACAAUAGAAUAAAAAGUGGAAUAAUGAACUGUAUUUGUAUCUAAUUACAUACAUAAUGCAUUUCUGUAAUUGUCUAGUAGGGGUGUGCUAAUGAAUAAAUUACUUUUAAUUGUAGGUUGCUUGAUUGUUUCAGAAAUAUAAUUGAUUGUAAUCAAGAAUCAAUUAAAUGCUGGUAGUAAUUGUAUUUAUCAAAUUUAAUAUAUUAUUAUAGUUUAGAAACAUUUUCAAAAAAGGGAGUAUUAAAGGACUAUAUUGGUCUUACGUGUUCAUACCAUUGGGUUGGUGGGGUGGCGCUUAUUAUAACAGUGCACAAUAAAAAAGAAACGUGUAUUCUCAUCUUUGUUUCUGCUCCCAUCUGAUCUGUGAGGAUAAACAAGGAUUUAGACUUGCUCAGUAUUCAUGACUCUUAGCUUGCUGUGUGAAGUGGGCUUUAAUAGAAACCAAGUGCCCCCAGGUGAGACUCCUUCCGUGGUGUGAAGCUUUGCAGUCCUGACCAGAUGAGAGUAGUGCUCUGCACAGCAGGGUAGUGAUGCACAGGGAUUCCAGACCUGCCUGCCUUCUCCAGGUGCCCUCAGCCCUAGAUACCCUUUCUCUUCUGAGCUAUUUUUGGAUUGUAGUGUCUUGUGGAACUGCUAGCUUUUCCAACUAGUUUAUUAUUCUUUUUGUAAAUAAAACUUAUCUAGUGGUUUUAGUUUGAAGGAUCUUUAUGUACCUUCUGUGCUCAGGAAAGGCAUUAUGCCUGCCUUCCCAUGGCCCUGCUGUCUUUACAAAUAUGAAAUACAAUUAAAUGAAGUCAAUAUGACUCUAAAUGGAUAGUGACCCAACCAGAUAAACCAAGAGGGCUCUGUUUUUAACAUGGACCUCAUUUUGCUGUCAUAUGCAGAUGCUUUGUUAAUGCUGAACCAUUUUUGGCCUUUGUAGAAAGGUCCAAUUUUGAGGCCCAUUACACUGUAGAUGAGAGAGUAUAUUGUCCAUUAACUGCAUAAAGUACAGACCAUAUGUGCAAUUCAUGUUUCCAUGGGUUUACAGGUCCUAAUCAACAAACUUGACCAGAUUGUGUGCCAUGGGAAAACUGAAAUCUGCACUAAGUAGAUAAAGCACAGAGCUCCCUUCUAAGGGAAGCUGUCUAAGGACUUGUGAUCUAUGACUGCAGUUCCAGGAGAAGCAGCAUUUCUUUGACAAGUGUGCAAAACAUGAAUAUAGUAAAUAUAGAGAGUGCCAUCUACUGACCUGUGAGAAUAUAUAUAUAUAUAUAUUAUAUAUUAUAUAUGCAGCUUUGUCCAGAAUGAGUCAAUAUGUUGUUGAUGUUGUGCUCCAAAUGGCUUCUUGACUGUAGAUGCCCGACUCUAGUUUGGGCUCCACUUUCCCCGUUAGCAUCAUAAAGGGAUCAGUCAAGCUGUCUGAUGUAAUCUUGGUGUUUCUAAAAACUUGUCCUUGUAACCAAAGCCCCAAGACUGAGGUGCAAAAUUUCAGUGGGGAGGAGGGUUUUUUUUAACUACUGUUUUUAAAUCAGUUUGGGAAAUAUCUAAACUGAGUAUUUUCUUAAGUUUUUAGAUCUGGUGUCAAUGGAAAUGUGUUGGAAUCUGUAUCUUGUCCUUGGAUCUUUUGUUGAAUGAGCUAUGGAGUAGCUGCAGAUGUAGAAGCUGGAUCACCUCCCCCUGUCUUUUUUUUUUCCUCAGAAAAUUGAACGUUGAGUUUUCAUUUUACUACAGAAAAGUGCUCUAUCAGGUAAUAUCUGACUAUCACCAUAAUUAGCUCCUUAGUUCAACAAAGAGAAAUUAUCAGAAUUACUUGCUUUCCUGCCUGUGGGGGCUUUUAUUUCAGUACUGAGUUUUUGAAUUUGAGGAUGAAGAGACUAUUAGAACUUUUUGGGUUUUUUUGUUUUUUCUUUUUGUUCUAGCACUAUUUUCUGAACAUAAAGAGGGGGUGGAGGUGUGGAAAAGAGUACAGAAAAGGGAAUUUUGGUCUUCCCCUUCACCCCAAGAACUGAGCUUACUGCUCAGAAAAGGUUAAAAAGACAGAUGUUAGGAAAUAUUAAUCUCUGAAUGAAGAGUAAAACAAAAACCCUUAUUACUUCACAAUAUAAAUUUGCACUGUAUCAUAUCUGGAAUUCCAGACUCAGCUUUGGUCUCUGUGCUUCAAAAGAGAUGUUAGGUGAACUAGAGAAGGGUAAUAGAGAUCAUCAAGAGUUAAGGAGCUGCUACUGUGCUCAACAGGGUCCAAUAAAAACAUGGAAGGGAGGAAACAGUUACUACUCACACCUGAAGAAUUGAGAGGCAAGCAAAUUUAGAAAAAUGUUACUCUUCACAUAUGAAAUUGUGAAACUUGGUUAUAUAUUAUGGUCUGAGAGACAAAAUAAUGGAAUUAAUGAAGAAUUCAUGAAGAGUACUUCAGUUGUUAAAAGUUGCCACUGUUGCAACCUUUGGCUUAGAAUGCCCUUGCCCUUCUAACCUGGGGCAAUCAACACUAUAUGGCUGGGAAGGAUCACUUUAUUCUCACCCAUUUCUUAUAUUCUCCUUUAAUUAUGGCCUACUGAACAUAGCAGGAAAUAGAUUAUUAAACCAGGUAGAUUUUUAUUCUAACCCAAAGCAGCAGGAGCCAGAAGACAAAACCUUGCCUCCUACUUUGUGCCUGCAGUCAUGCCCUGUUUUCUGACUGCUCUGUUUGUGGCCCAAAGAGAUCAAUAAUUUUUGCACAAGUACCACUGGGUGUCAUUUAGGAUUCCAGGUAGGCUCUGCUCAGGGUAUCCUUCAAGGAGGGAGGGAGGUGUGCCCAGAACAAGGUUCCCAAAUCUACUUUGUAACACAGGAACCUAAAAUAACUUGGGACUUUUGUGCCAAUCUUUCAAACUCUAAAAGUGCUUACUGGCUCUAUCCUUUAAUUAAAAACCAAAGGCAAAAUUCUUCAGUUCAUCUGUAGGUGUAUCUUGAGGUUGCUUGUCAAGAGGAUUUCUUCUGACUUUUCAAACUCAAGUGAACUAUUUUGAUUAUAAGAUAAUGUAACAUAAACAUGUCACUAAUUAAAUUAAUAUGUUUGUAUGUGAAUAUACCACAUUAUUCCUAUUAACUGUUUUAAGAGGAAAAUAAUGUAUAAAACCAUCAAAUUUCUACAAUUGAAACACCUCUAGGUGUCCCUGGUUUCUUCCCAGGUACAGGCCUGCCUUUCAGAUAUGGUAUGCCAGUUCCCACAUUUCCAUAAAAACUUUGGUUGUCAAAGCAAUUUUCCUUAUUUAUAAUUUUAACCAUGUUAUUUGCCUCAUGUUGAAUAUCACUCUUGGUCCAUAUAAACAAAAAACUUUUGAAGGAUUAAUUAACUCUUUCUUUCUGUCUUCUUUCUCUCUUGACUUUCUUAAGUAAUUCUUUACCAUUGAGGUGGUGACACAGCACCCUGGCUAAGGUGUGUGUAAGGUGUAUGUGUAAUCUCCAAGUACACAAAAAAAGCCCCAACAAAAUGACAAAACCAGAGGAAGAUGUUCAUAUAUGGUUGGUUAGCAAACCUAGCAAUCAUGCCAGCUUCUCAAAUCAGUUGCCCGUUCUGUAAUCUCUUUGCUUCCUGUAAUAUAAAAAUUCUUGUCACUCACUUUGUUAAUAGGGUUUCUUCUCUGGUCUUAACACUCACAUUUAAUUUCUGUGUUUGUUCUUUCAAAUUUUCAUCCUUCUGGCAUGCAAGCUAAUGUGCGAGCUACAGCUACCAUCCUGUAGAGGAUGGUUUCACUGAAGGAGACUGGCUGGAAGGGCAUUAAUGUUCUGAUGCAGUGCAGAGACACCCCGGGUAACAUCUGAGACAGUACCAGGGACGGAAGUGAAAUAGGCAUGGAAGUGGGCUCUGCACCUGAGUACCAAGCUCUGCCUGAGGAGGUUUAUUUGCUGAAGAGAAGUGCUGCACUAACACUUUUGGACCAAGAUACUCCCUUGCAAAUCUCCAUGUUUUCUUCUAUGCUCCAAUUGCUGCAAUGUGAGGAAUGUCUCAGACUUUCUAUUUGCAGACAGUUUUCAUGGUGACAGCUUCUGCUCAGACCUUUCUGCCAUGGCUGUAUGUUCCUGAAGCCAUCAGUUCAGCGGGUUCUUUUCCUUCACACUUGCUCUAACUGGUAGUAAACCCUUAAUGCCACAGUGACCAAUGGUAAAUCACCGUGUCUGACACUGGGAGACAAAAGAAGCAGGAGGGAUCUGUGAAAAAUGCCUGCAAGAAGCAAAGCACAGCGUGGAUGGAGAUGAUUCACGUCUCUGCAGUGAAUCUUCAGUAAAAGGUAGCAGAGCAGAACCAAAGACCAUUUUCACUCAUCUUGAAUUCAUUUCACCUGAUCUCUAAAGUAUUUCCCUGCUACCCACCAGAGCUUUGAACCAGGCUGCAUGUCUGAGUACUGCUUUUUCCCUUUUUUUUCUUUUUUUCUUCUUUUUUUUUUUUUUUUUUUUUUUUUUUUUUUUUCCCCAAAAGAAAUGAGUGCAAAAAAGGCAGCUAACAGAGGGAGAAGCUACAAGCAAUGAAUACAGAAAAGAAACUGAUUUGGACAUCUGUCUGUCCAUCCCUUGAAACUUUCACAGAUUUUUAUGCAAUCUGACUUAGAAUAAGAAGUUUUCCAAAAACAUGUAAUGGUCUAAAGUUCCCAAGUUACUUAAAUGCUUUUGGAAAAGUUGCUGGAAAUUGAUGCAUCCAUAUUUAAACAAGGAAAUGUUUCUAUUUAACAAAGCCUGCUGGUAAAUUUUUGUCUGUUUUUAUUGUUAUUUUAACUGUUUCCUUGAAAAAUUAGUUUUUGUUUUCUCUUUUGCAAGUAUCGUAAUGUUUGAUUUAGCAACCUGGGGCUAUCUUAUUCCUUUACAAAUCUAUGUAAGUCUUCUGGUUACUUUUUAAUUAAGCAGAAUCAAACCUGUUGCCCUUCAUCCUGAAAAGCUAUAGCAACAUGCUUAUGUGAGUCACAGACUCAAAGUAAGUAAAUUUAAGCUUGCAUAGAUAAAAUGAUACUGAGUUGAGGGUGACCUCAUAGAUUGUUGUGUUCCUUUCUAGCACAGACAACUGCAACCAUCAUAAAAGCUGAUUUUCUUUGGAUUUAAACCAGUGAUAGGGCUAGCCCUGUUAGUAUGACUGAAAAGACACUGUAAUUUCCUGCCUUCCUGGCUUUUCUGGUAUUCCAGCUCACUCCUGCAGGACAAGAGACUUGGGAUGCAAGUCUGAGUGCUUUCUGAUUAACUUCAGCUGAAUUGGAAAAAAUCAACACAAGAUUUUGCCACUGUUGAGGUACUGAGCCUGGAUUCCUCAUAUGUAAAAAUUUCAAUUUAAUUUCACUGGGAGUUUACCAAGAUUACCUUAUUAAAUUCUUUGGGGAGGUGCCUGCAUUUUUCCUAGCUGCUGAAGCUCUGUACUUGUUUCCUAUUCUUUCCACAGCUGAGACUUUCAGUAGUCAUCCCCCAGGUUCCCUUUUCUUUUAAGAAUUGUUGGCUGGUUCUCAUUUUUGUGACUGAAUUUUGGAGCCUUCUGAAACAAAAAAAAUCUUUUAAAAAAAGUUUGGGCCAUGUAGACAUAAUGCCAUUGUUACUUCUGUAGUACUACACUGUGUAGCUUUUGUUAUAAGAUUCAUUCCAAAUACACUGUUAAAAGGGAACUGCUAAGGCCUGUGGAUCUGAAUCUUUGCUAAAGAAGCAGUAAUUUACUACCCAGAAAGUGAUAGACAAUGAGGGGAAAUCAUAAUGCCAUAGGAAAGUGAAGAAUGGCCCAUUUCUUCUUGCACAAUUAGAACAGAAUAUUUUUAUGCUAAGUGGUCUGCUUUGCAAACAUACACAAGAGCCCCUGUGCUUGCAUCUUAAAAGAAUAAGCCUACCAAUAUAUCUUCUCCUCAUUGAUGCUAUAUGUUGUAAGGGGUUUUUUACUGUAGAGGUGCUUUUGAUUUGCCUGGGUUAUAAAAAUAUGGCAUCAAUCUUCUUAUUUUGCUACCAUCAGUGAUGUUCCAGUGAUGAUACCUAGAGGUGGGUGUCACUGCAUGUCAGAGUAAUGGCAGAGAAUACAGAGUGCUCACCCUGCCCUGUCUCAGAACUGCAGCUAUAGCUCAAGGUGGCAGACAAAGGGAAGAGAGAGAGAAAACAUGUGCAUGUGUUUGUGCACGCGUAGGCAGUGCUAACAGAAGGGAAUUAGCUGGCUCAGAGCUUUGAUUAUUGACUACAGAGAGUUUCAGCUCUGGUCUCUUGUGUGAAUCAGUCAGAUCCACAGUAUCCAAAAGUGGUUAUCAGCUGAUGAUUGUUUGAUUGUCUGUGAAGUAAUUAGUUUGAACUGGGCUCCCCCAGUGAGACUCACCUGGUGUCUGUGCACCCCUUCCAGGUGCGCUGGGGCAAGGUGAGGAGGUGAUGCCUCCAGGCAGCCCCAGCUCCCUGUAACCCUCUCUUUGCUGAUUUAAGGGCUGUCUCUGCCACAGCUCUGCUGAUAGCUUGCUGUUGUAAUUGCACCCAUCUCAGUGAAAAUGAGCCUAAUAACCCUGAGAGCUGAAAUAAUCAGUAUUGGUUAACCUGGCUGGUUCUGCCAGGGGUGUUGGGGAGAUGACCACACAAACCCUUCUGCCAGUGGGCUGGAGGAGCUGUUAGCAGUGGGACUGGCAGAUGGGGCUGGGGCCAGCAAACUGUGCAGCUGACACAGCUUCAUCUGCAAUGGGAUUGAAGGGGAUCUACAAACACUAGUCUGUUUUCUUUACUCUUGUGAAGAACCCCAUUUUCAGGGACUAAAUUAAAGUAGGAAAUCACCUGUUUGGCCUUACUUGCCAUCCUUUGGUUUUCCUGUUAUAGACACCAGUCAGUUAAGUCUAAACCUUGGUCCCAUUAUAAGAAUGGCUGUAUAACCAUUGCUUGCUUUUAAAUAAGAAGUUAGUUUUUAAAUGAUGAGAAAGUUUGAAAUUCUGUGAUCUAAAACAAUGUAAAGAUGCUCAGUGAAGCAAAUAAAAGCACUUGUCCUAACUAGCCUGAUAAACAACCACUCCUGUGGCUAUUCUUUACACCUGGUCAAAGUGAGAGUGGAAACUCCUGGAUUAUUCCAGUCCUGCAGCCAGGCUGUGGGACCUGUAUGUAGUAGGACUUCCAGCAAUUUUGACAAGCACUGAAUUCACUGUUCAACAUUUUAAAAGAGUGAGAAGUAGAGAUUUUUGGUUCUAACAUUUCUUGGGUUGUAAUUUUGCAUUAGUGAUGUAGCAUAAAUCAUUUACUGUACUAAUGGGCUGGGAAAUUUCUGUGGGAUUGAGCAGCAGCAACUGUGCUAGACACAGGUGUGAGGUGUGGCCUUGAAGUUUGCAUUUCUGGAGCCACUUCUCUGCAUGAGCUGCAAGCAGCCCUGUAAUGGAAGUUGUCACCUUUUGGCCUCAACACCUCUAACCUCAAAUAAUGAUCAAAAAUGUGAAGUCUUUCAAGUUAAAAGUUUUGCAUCCAUCAGGUUAUUAAUACAUAGAAGAGAAGGUCUUUUACUCAGUCAUGUUAAAAAGCUGUUGAAAGCUUCUAAACUGGAGCAUGAUUGCCAUUAUGUAAGAAUACAUUUUUACUGUUAUUUUAAUUAA